rnacentral:rRNA from 1 species
UGGGGAAUCUUGGACAAUGGGCGCAAGCCUGAUCCAGCCAUGCCGCGUGGAUGAUGAAGGCCUUAGGGUUGUAAAAUCCUUUCGUGGGGGACGAUAAUGACGGUACCCCAAGAAGAAGCUCCGGCUAACUUCGUGCCAGCAGCCGCGGUAAUACGAAGGGGGCUAGCGUUGUUCGGAUUUACUGGGCGUAAAGCGCGUGUAGGCGGGUCGUUAAGUUGGGGGUGAAAUCCCGAGGCUCAACCUCGGAACUGCCUUCAAAACUGGCGACCUGGACCUAAGUAGAGGCAAGUGGAAUUGCGAGUGUAGAGGUGAAAUUCGUAGAUAUUCGCAGGAACACCAGUGGCGAAGGCGGCUCACUGGCCCGAUACUGACGCUGAGGUGCGAAAGCGUGGGGAGCAAACAGGAUUAGAUACCCCUGUAGUCCCUGAGCGGGCUGGCAAGGCGCAU